rnacentral:rRNA from 1 species
UACAGAGGGGGCAAGCGUUGUUCGGAAUUACUGGGCGUAAAGGGCGCGUAGGCGGCCUUCUAAGUCGAACGUGAAAUCCCCGGGCUCAACCCUGGAACUGCGUCCGAGACUGGAAGGCUUGAAUCCGGGAGAGGGAUGUGGAAUUCCAGGUGUAGCGGUGAAAUGCGUAGAUAUCUGGAGGAACAUCAGUGGCGAAAGCGACUUCCUGGACGAAUACUGACGCUCAUGUGCGAAAGCGUGGGGAGCAAACAGG